rnacentral:misc_RNA from 1 species
CNUGNGCGAGAGUAGUANUAGNAUGGGUGACCCCCUGGGAAGUCCUCGUGUUGCACCCCCUGCGCCCCUUCUUUUUGCAACUUUUCUGCCUUUUUGGGGGAAGGUGGCGAAAGGAAACGCGCGUACGAGAGAACGUGGCUCAGUAAGAGCGCACGCGCGACGUAAAACGACACGUGGGAAUAUAGGCACAAAAUCGGAUGAUCCUAACGGUUGGGAAUAUAGGAGUAAAAAGGGAGAACCGUA